rnacentral:rRNA from 1 species
AGUUAAAAAGCUCGUAGUUGGAUUUCGGAGUGGGCCAGUUGGUCCGCCGCAAGGUGUGUUACUGACUGGUUUGCUCUUCUUCGCAAAGACUGCGUGUGCUCUUGAGUGAGUGUGCGUAGGAUUUACGACGUUUACUUUGAAAAAAUUAGAGUGUUCAAAGCAGGCUAUUGCUUGAAUACAUGAGCAUGGAAUAAUGGAAUGGGACUUUGGUCCCAUUUUGUUGGUUUCUAGGGCCGAAGUAAUGAUUAAGAGGGACAAUUGGGGGCAUCCGUAUUUCGUUGUCAGAGGUGAAAUUCUUGGAUUUACGAAAGACGAACAACUGCGAAAGCACUUGCCAAGAGUGUUUUCAUUAAUCAAGAACGAAAGUUAGAGGAUCGAAGACGAUCAGAUACCGUCCUAGUUCUAACCAUAAACGAUGUCGACUAGGGAUCAGCGGGCGUUAUCGUACGACCCCGUUGGCACCCUACGGGAAACCAAAGUUUUUGGAUUCCGGGGGAAGUAUGGUUGCAAAGCUGAAACUUAAAGGAAUUGGCGGAAGGGCACCACCAGGAGUGGAGCCUGUGGCUCAAUUUGACUCAACACGGGAAAACUUACCAGGUCCAGACAUAGUAAGGAUUGACAAGUUGAGAGC